CUGUCCUAAAUUAAUCAAUUGGGUUUUUGACCCAUCUUCACUUGUCCUAAUCUAUUCAUUUGGGCUUUUGGCCUAUCUUCACCUAUCCUAAUCUAAAUAUUGGGCUUUUGGCCCAUAACCUGUCCUCUACUAUCUUUUUCGGGUCCUUUGGCCCAAAAUCGGCUUCACGUAUAUUAAUUUACAAUUUUGGCUUCGAUGCCUUAAUGAAUGAAUGAAUAAAUAAAUAAAAAAGUAAAAACAUGAAUAUAAAUAGAGACUUGUUAAGUAUCUUAACAUCUCUAUCAAUAGGUUUUGACCCAUUUUUCCUCUUCCAUCUUCUUAUACCAGUAUGCCUUGGAUCAUUGUUUGGACUUAGUCUGAAUCAUGACUCGAAGAGAUGAGCCUCAUUAUCCCAUGAAGAAAAUGCAAGGAGAAAUUGAGUCCAUUUGGACUCUAAAGCUAGUUCAUGCAAAGAAAGAAAAGAAGGAUAAAAUAAUUAAUACUAUGUUAAAAUACGCAAUUAAGAUAACAAAGAAAUAUGUAUCAAGCUCAUAUAAAGGAACGAUAAUGGAAAGUUUAGGUAUUAAUUAAAAUACUUCUCAUGCAACCAAUUUAGAAGAAAGACCAAUAAAAGCCACAAAAAUUAACUUUAAUCAGCCAAGACAAACAUUUUUACCCCAUAAGCAUUACCAAACGAUAACUAUCCUUUAUUUUGUCUAAAUUCCAGUAAACAAAGUAAUAUAGACAAAUCCUUUACAUCUGAUGUAUUAGCUAAAAAAGUUAAUUAAGAGAAAAAUUGGAAAGAAACAACGGAGAUGCUAAAUAAAACAAAAAAGGGAGGGCUGGGUACCUUAGGCCAUACUUAGACAAUUAAAGUAUCCAAAUAUUAGUUAACGACCCAUUUAGCACCAAUUUUCCAACCAAAAAAUUUAAGCAAAAGAAAGAGAGGAUAUGAAUACAUAAAGUUGGAAACUGUAACGACAAAAUGCAUCACAACUUCUAGCAUAUUAGAUCGAGAAAAGAUACAGUUCUAACUUUACAAGUUAAACAGAAGACUCAUUACAUAGUUUGAGUUACCACAAAUUAUUAAAGAUGAUAUUUACAAAAGAUGGAACAGACAAUCUAUUCCUACAUUGUCCUAAAUAAGAUCUGAACUCUGACUCAAGAGAACCACUUAUAGAAAAGCCAUUUCUAAACUAUGAGAUUCAGAUUUUUCAGCAUACUUACACACAAUUCAGACGAUGGAACGAAUCAAGUAAUGAUCAAACAUGAACAUUAUUUUCUAUAACUAAGAAAAUUAUAAAAGUUUAUGAACAAAUGAAAUUAUCUGUAGAUGGAACUGUCUAGAAUGUCUAAACAAAAUCCAAAGUUUAUUUGCAAGUGGAUACUCUCGGGAUCAUGAAGACUCAAAAAUAAGAAACAACACCAUCCACUACUUUCUUCUCUCACAACUAAUAUUGCUAAUAUGUUAGUUGAAAACCAUAUGAGACUUCGCACAAUAACCAAAAUACUAUUCUAUUACAGAACUUAAAGGAAAGAAUCAACGACUUGAACAAGAACAACCAAAUAAUCGCUUCAAAGCAUGUGGUUCAUGAACUUUAUAUGGCACUGUAAACCAGAAAGAUCCUAGGACAAUAACCAGAGAGUGUAAUUUUGUGAGCAAGGGUCUGUUUUGAUUAUUUUUUUGCUCAUAUAUAAAAGGGCAGGAACAAACUUAGGGGAUGAGCAAGAAAUUUCACAGUAAGAAUCAACUAGCACUAACAAUGUAUAGAUGACCAUAUUCAAACAAACAUUAGAGAGAUUCAAUGAGUUUUGCACCAAGAAAUCAUUCAAGUUAAGACUUCCACAAACUUAUGAGCAAAUAGAGCAUCAGGGCAAGAAUCAACCCACAACAAUUAUAUAAAUAAGCUUAAUAGAGUCUGCUUACGUACUUCUUACUAUCAAACAAAUAACAUAAAUAAAACUAACCCAUACACAGGAUUAUAUUCAAAUAAAUCAAACCAAACUUGAGCAGAAAUUAAAUGCAACAAUAAAACAACUAAGAUAGGUAGAGGGAUAUCACAACAAUCUAACCAUUUUCACUUUAUCCCAUCAAAAUCCUAUGUCCAUUGAGGCCUUCUAUAGCGCACAAUCCCAGCAUACAAGAUUAUCAAAAUGCUACUAACUAUAGAAUAACGAGAAGAAGAAAUAAAAUUAAAACUAAAAAGGAAAAAAUAUUACCUAUUUUAGGGCAGCAAAAUGGGACCCCGAGUUGUCGUCGGAAUCUUGACUACCACUGAAAAGUGUCGAUGCCGCGGCGAAAAUUCCGACUAGCUAGCUACUUUUCGUAAAAAAAAUUUACUAAAAGAAAGAAUUCAUUUGUUUGUUCGAAACAGGUUUAUCA
rnacentral:lncRNA from 1 species